CAGAGAAUAGUUUAAUUAAAAUAUUAAUUUUGGGUAUUAAUGAUAAUGAAUAAUUCUUUUUCUCUGA
rnacentral:tRNA from 1 species